rnacentral:rRNA from 2 species
CAUGCAGUCGGACAGCAGCACGAGAUAAGCUUGCUUAUCUUGGUGGCGAGUGGCGAACGGGUGAGUAACGUAUCGGAACGUGCCCAGUAGCGGGGGAUAACUACGCGAAAGCGUGGCUAAUACCGCAUACGCCCUACGGGGGAAAGGGGGGGAUUCUUCGGAACCUCUCACUAUUGGAGCGGCCGAUAUCAGAUUAGCUAGUUGGUGGGGUAAUGGCCUACCAAGGCCGCGAUCUGUAGCUGGUUUGAGAGGACGACCAGCCACACUGGGACUGAGACACGGCCCAGACUCCUACGGGAGGCAGCAGUGGGGAAUUUUGGACAAUGGGGGCAACCCUGAUCCAGCCAUCCCGCGUGUGCGAUGAAGGCCUUCGGGUUGUAAAGCACUUUUGGCAGGGAAGAAAAGGCGCGGGCUAAUAUCCUGCGCCGCUGACGGUACCUGCGGAAUAAGCACCGGCUAACUACGUGCCAGCAGCCGCGGUAAUGCGUAGGGUGCAAGCGUUAAUCGGAAUUACUGGGCGUAAAGCGUGCGUCGGCGGUUUGGCAAGAAAGGUGUGAAAUCCCAGGGCUUAAUCUUGGAACUGCACUUUUAACUGCCAGGCUAGAGUAUG